rnacentral:rRNA from 1 species
CCUACGGGAGGCAGCAGUGAGGAAUAUUGGUCAAUGGUUGGGAGACUGAACCAGCCAAGCCGCGUGAGGGAGGAAGGUACAGAGUAUCGUAAACCUCUUUUGUCAGGGAACAAAGGCGGGGACGUGACCCCGGAUGAGUGUACCUGAAGAAAAAGCAUCGGCUAACUCCGUGCCAGCAGCCGCGGUAAUACGGAGGAUGCGAGCGUUAUCCGGAUUUAUGGGGUUUAAAGGGUGCGCAGGCGGUCUGUUAAGUCAGCGGUCAAAGCCCGGGGCUCAACCCCGGCCCGCCGUUGAAACUGGCAGUCUCGAGUUGGAGAGAAGUAUGCGGAAUGCGCGGUGUAGCGGUGAAAUGCAUAGAUAUCGCGCAGAACUCCGAUUGCGAAGGCAGCAUGCCGGCUCCACACUGACGCUGAGGCACGAAAGCGUGGGUAUCGAACAGGAUUAGAUACCCGUGUAGUC